rnacentral:rRNA from 1 species
UGUUCAGGGGUAAACCUGUGGUUCCCGAAAGUUCGAAAGAGGAGAUUCAAUUGCCUCGCCGGUUAUGACCAUUAAGCAGUGUAUAUAUUUGUGUAUAUGUGUGACAUUAUAUUCGUUGCGGCAUUCGUGCUCGUAAUGCUUUUAUAGUGCACCAUUGUUUUAUGCUUGUUUAUAACCGGAGGCGUGCACUUCUCCUCUAGUAGGGCGUCGUGACCCAUUGGGUAUUUUGUCUAAGGCUCAUAAUGGAGACCGUAAUGUCUGAAUGUAUUUCGGUAUAUUUUGUGCAUUUACGGACUUGUGAUGUCCCGACAUAUGCCUGAUGGUAUAAUUGUGAUGAUGAGUCGCUAUUUUAUAUAGUGAGCGUUCAGACCUAUGACAAAUGCUUGUAUGUUGGUAAUUGUGGAAAUCGGACAUUGUGCCGGUUCUACACAUAUGGUAUUGCUAGUCAUGGUGUUCUCGAACAGUUUCUUAUCAUCCGUCAACGGCGUUUAUGUUUUGGGUAAUUACAGGACCCGUCUUGAAACACGGACCAAGGAGUCUAGCAUGUGCGCAAGUCAUUGGGAUUUUAUAAUAAACCUAAAGGCGUAAUGAAAGUAAAUAUAUGUAAAAUUUAUUUUAUAUAUAAAGGGAAGAUGGGUGACGUUAUUUAUGUUACCUCGCAUUCCCGGGGCGUCGCGUAUUCAUUGCGAAUUGCGGCGCACCAAGAGCGUACACGCUGGGACCCGAAAGAUGGUGAACUAUGCCUGGUCAGGAUGAAGUCAGGGGAAACCCUGAUGGAGGUCCGUAGCGAUUCUGACGUGCAAAUCGAUCGUAUGAACUGGGUAUAGGGGCGAAAGACUAAUCGAACCAUC